rnacentral:miRNA from 9 species
ACGGUUUGGCACUUGCCCAG